GGUCAGCCAGGUGGCACCCACCAGCCGCUACACCGAGGUGGGAAGCUGAGGCACAUGUCCUAAGGCCUCAGUCCAAGGAUCACCCUAAUAUCAACGCCCUGCCCGGCACAAAUGUGACAGGUGAAUCCCAGAGCCCACUUCACCGAGGUCCUGGCUUCAACAGCAAGAAAGACAUGAUACAACGCAGCUGGAGAUGAGAGGAAUCUGGUGUCUCACCCUAAGUCCUUCCACAUAGGAAUUUGUACAAUCACAGGGAAGGGGCAUGUCGUCCUUAUUCUUGAGGAGCACCAAGAGCCUGGUGAGAGAGCUGGGCAGGAAGGGUGAGCUGGUGCCUGUGGACAGCCUCAGCAGCUCACAGCGCCUGCGCCCCUUCUGCCUGGUGAGGAAGAAGCACAAGAGCUACCUCUGGCCUUGGGACACACCCCUCAUCCCCACAGACUUCUCCCUCCUCGAUGUGCUGGAACCUGGCUGUCCUGACCCAGAGGUGAACCACAGCGGGCCUAUCUACACCUGGGAGAAGGAGGCAGGAGGAUUGACAGGGGCUGUGAGCCUGAGUGCUGGGCUACAGGGCCAGGCGACUGGAAGUGGCAAGACCACCCACCUCUCUGCCUUGGCUGUGCAGACACUCUGGGUCUCCCCUUGUACCUGGGAGAUGCUGCUAGAGAAGAGGAAACUGAGGUCACCCAGGCCCUCCUUCCUCCAGGAGCUACACAGCCGGAAGGAGAGGGAGAGUCUAUACGUGGUAACUGAGGCUGUGGAGACCCUGCAAGAUGCCAUGCUUCAGAGCCACAGCCACAUGUAGGGGCUGGGCAGCUGUCUCCUACAGCUGGGCCAUGGUCAGGUCCAGGGACAGAGUCAUGUGGACACAGAGAAAAUGGUGAGCAUCCCACAGGGCAGUGUACUGGCCUACAGGGUUCUGCAGCUGCUGGUGGAAGAAGAUGGCUGGGCUGUCUGUUACAUCCCUGAAAGAAAGCUCUGCAGGAACGCUGGGGUAGGUAUAGCCUUCAGCCAGGAAUCAGGAGAGGAGUCUAGCUUCCACGACUUGCGAGACCAAGUAGAUAGCCAGUUGCAGGACCUGGUCACGCUGUCCUCAGAGCAACGGGACACAUUGCUGGGUGCCCUCCAGGAGCUACUACAAGACCACCAGGCACUCCAGGAGCUGGAGGACACGCUGGAACAGGCUCUGGACACAGGGCUGCUGGUACAUCUAGAGGGCCCUGGAGGCUGUGUCUUAAGCAUCCUCAAAGACUCUACAGGCAACUUGUCAUGCUCGAGAAGUAUGGCUGUCUUCUUCAUUCUUGGAGCCCUGGCAGCAUUGAGUGAACCCCAGCGUUGCCUGUUGGCCCAGUCCAUAGAGAGACAAAUCCUAUGUGAGGAACUGGAGCUGGAGUACUCUGUGCUCUGAAGAGUGAGGACGUGAUCCUCAUCCUAAGCCUGGUGCAGGGCUGUGGGCUGGAGCUGGAGCAGUCUGGCUGCCAGCUCACCUGGGACCCUACAGUCGUGCCUCAGCUUUCUGCACUCUACGGGUGCCUCACAGGGCUACAGCUACUAGCUGACCCAUGUCCUGGGCUUUCUAGGACAGUGUCUGAAGAGGAAACACCGAUUUGUCCCUAAGGUCUCAUCCAAUCUGAUGCCUGGCAGCCUAGGAUGUCACUGACCCUCACUAGUGGUCACAGCUGAUGACACGGUUCCACCAGGAGAAGCCCCACACCACACUUUAAGACUGGUUUCAAACAUCUGAAACACCUAUUCAGAACAAUAUCCUGAAUCAGUGUUAUUUCUGAGCAGUGCAGGCUACCUGUAAAACAUUUUGGCUGUGUAUCUUAGGUAGCAUAGUCCCUUCUGUGCUCAGGUAAAAUCAGCCAUUGUAAAAGAUUUGUGGUAAUUCCCAGGGCACAAGAACUUUCUAAAUUAUAUGUGACAUGCUUAC